rnacentral:rRNA from 1 species
GAUGAACGCUGGCGGCGUGCUUAACACAUGCAAGUCGAACGAAGCAUUUGCGACAGAUUUUUUCGGAAUGAAGUUGCUUAUGACUGAGUGGCGGACGGGUGAGUAACGCGUGGGUAACCUGCCUUGUACUGGGGGAUAGCAGCUGGAAACGGCUGGUAAUACCGCAUAAGCGCACAAUGUUGCAUGACAUGGUGUGAAAAACUCCGGUGGUAUAAGAUGGACCCGCGUCUGAUUAGCUAGUUGGUGAGAUAACAGCCCACCAAGGCGACGAUCAGUAGCCGACCUGAGAGGGUGACCGGCCACAUUGGGACUGAGACACGGCCCAGACUCCUACGGGAGGCAGCAGUGGGGAAUAUUGCAUAAUGGAGGAAACUCUGAUGCAGCGACGCCGCGUGAGUGAAGAAGUAAUUCGUUAUGUAAAGCUCUAUCAGCAGGGAAGAUAGUGACGGUACCUGACGAAGAAGCUCCGGCUAAAUACGUG